AUACCAUGAUGCGAGCACUUCCUUAACAAUUCUUUAAAUCUUUCCCAUGCAUCAUACUACAAUUGACCUUUUAUCUGGUAGAAAUUAUUGAUUUCCCCUCUCAACUU